rnacentral:rRNA from 1 species
UACAGAGGGUGCGAGCGUUAAUCGGAAUUACUGGGCGUAAAGGGCGCGUAGGCGGCUUAACAAGUCACUUGUGAAAUCUCCGGGCUUAACUCGGAACGGCCAAGUGAAACUGUCAAGCUAGAGUGCAGAAGGGGCAAUCGGAAUUCUUGGUGUAGCGGUGAAAUGCGUAGAUAUCAAGAGGAACACCUGAGGUGAAGACGGGUUGCUGGGCUGACACUGACGCUGAGGCGCGAAAGCCAGGGGAGCAAACGGG